AACAGAGCACAGCUCUCCCCUCUGCUGCCGAGGCGGUGCGCUGUGUACCUGAGGCGCCAUGGCCUGUCCGCGGCUGCUUCUCCCUCGUGAAGGGGUGCCCGCAGAGCAGGGGUCGCUGGCCUGCAGGCGCUCAGUCAGCUGGUACGGCCUGAGGCUCCACAUUAUCCAGGAGACCACUGAGACCGCCCCGGAGCCCUGGCAGGUAAGGCCUUCCAUACAGGGCUCUCUAUUUAGAUGGUUUGUCAGGUCAAGGAUCAUCUCAGCUGUGGCUGAGUUCACGAGGUUUGGAUGGAAAGGUGCAAUGGGACCCCUAGAUUUCUGCAAGCUCAUGCCAGCUGGCAAAUGUCUAGACUGUGAAACUACAAUGCCCUUGACUCCCAACUAAGUCUAUAACUUCUGCUGUUCUGGUUGCUGCCUUCUGCUUUGUUGGUACAUUUCUCUGCCAUCUUUUCAUUAGGAUCGGUCGGUGAACCGCUGCGCUUAUUAUCACCCUGGCACGCACAAUAACCGGAUUAUUGUUGCUGCUGUAAUCCAUGAAUGGCUCAUUAGCAUGGAAAUAGUUCUUCCAUUUACUGCAGGCUUUAGCCCAGAGUCUCAUUCCUCACCACACAGUGAGCUUCCUCCAUCCUUCCAAGCCCGGCACCCCUUCUUCUUUAUUGAGCUGAAUGCAUGCUCUUGCCCUAUUGAGCAGAGCAGUAAGGCAUGAUGCCUUCAACCUCCACUUCUGAUCGGCUGUCUGUCUGUGCUGUUGGACCCGACCAGGGCACAGGUACACCGACACAGGGUCAGCUGUCUGUCUGUGCUGUUGGACCCGACCAGGGCACAGGUACACCGACACAGGGUCAGCUGUCUGUCUGUGCUGUUGGACCCGACCAGGGCACAGGUACACAGACAGACAGGGUCAGCUGUCUGUCUGUGCUGAUAAACCCGACCAGGGCGAAGGUACACAGACAGACAGGGUCAGCUGUCUGUCUGUGCUGUUAAACCCGACCAGGGCGAAGGUACACAGACAGACAGGGUCAGCUGUCUGUCUGUGCUGUUAUACCCGACCAGCUACAGGUACACAGACACAGACUCAGCUGUCUGUCUGUGCUGUUAUACCCGACCAGCUACAGUGACACAGACACAGACUCGGCUGUCUGUCUGUGCUGUUAAACCCGAACAGGGCACAGGUACAGAAAUGCGUGCUUGGUAGUCACCAGGCUUCUGUUUGCCAAUCUUUAAUCAGGAAAAGCUUCCAUGCUGUGUCGUAUGACCCAUAAGGAUUAAGCAGCAAAAGUCAACAAUGAAUAAUUGCGUUUUUCACACAAAGUAUGAGUCUGGAAUUAUUGUUUUAAUACGUCUUAAAUAGUAAUCGGUUUAAAUUGAUCAGUAGUUAAUUGGCAUGUAAAGUUUCUGGGUCAGUAUUGUAAAAUUAAAUGAUACUGUACUUUACAAUGAGUACGGUGUCAUUACUACCAGUGCAAUUUAGUCUCUUCUUGGAUAUAUUUAAAUUACCUGAUCCAAUGCCAAGUGAAGAUCACACGUCCAACCCCUCUGAUACUCAUUCAGCACUGAAGGAGCUUCUAUGUAUUCUCUUCUCCUCAUCACAACCUCACCCCUUCCCUCUUCCCUCUGCACUGUUUCCGUUGAUCUUUUUAAGGCAGAAUGGCUCUGCAUGGUAAUGGGAAAGAGCUGCCUUUUGGCAGGACCGCUGCCAACAGAUAGAGGGUUCUGGAGCGAGGGAGAGGGCAAUGGCAGACUGAUGGACUUCUUCAAUCAUCCUCACACUCUGACAUUUUCAAGCAGGAAAGAAUAGUUGCAGCAGAGAAGUAAGAAUGCAAUCAAAGCAUGACUCCAUUGUUUGGUGUCUGGUGUAUUAACUAUGGACCGUUGGUGAGACCCAUGCUGAUGCAAGAUUACAUUGUAAAAGUCCUUCCUCCAACCAGGGCUUGUCAGUCCUUUGCGAUUCCUGUUGCUCCCUUUGAACAAAAUGUUACCAUGGGAAGAGAAUUGCAGUACACAGCGUAGUUGUCAUACAAGGAAUCCUGGAGAUUUAUUGCAAGCUAAAUUGAGGUCAAAGUCACACAAAGACUUUAAGACCUUCAUUUCCACUAGCUUACAGCAUUAUCCAGAACAACUUCAUUGUCUCCAAUUAAAAAUAAGUAAAUGCUAACAAUAUAUUUUAACCCGCAGUAGACAAGGUACUUCAAC
ensembl:lncRNA